GCCUCAGUGGUGUAGCGAUAGUAGCGCACGUCCCGCAAUGGAAGAGACGCGGGUUCGACUCCCUCCUGAGGCC